GAUGAACGCUGGCGGCGUGCUUAACACAUGCAAGUCGAGCGGUAAGGCCCUUCUUGGUACACGAGCGGCGAACGGGUGGGUAACUCGUGAGUAAGCUGCCCAUCACUUCGGGAUGACUCCGUGAAACCGGGGCUAAUACCGAAUAUGACCACUUGAGGCAGCUGAUGGGGGUGGUAAGUUCCGGCGGUGAUGGGUGGGCUCGCGGCCUAUUAGCUUGUUGGUGGGGUAGUGGCCUUCCAAGGCUUCGACGGGUAGCCGGCCUGGGAGGGUGACCGGCCACACUGGGACUGAGAGACGGACCAGACUCCAACGGGAGGCAGCAGUGGGGAAUAUUGGCCAAUGGGCGAAAGCCUGAUCCAGAGACGCCGCGUGAGGGAUGACGGCCUUCGGGUUGUAAACCUCUUUCAGCAGGGACGAAGCGCAAGUGACGGUACCUGCAGAAGAAGCACCGGCCAACUACGUG
rnacentral:rRNA from 1 species